CGGGGUAGGAGUAACGCGUGAGGAACCGGCCUCAAAGAGGGGACGAACAGUUGGAAACGACUGCUAAUACCGCAUAAGCCCACGGCUCGGCAUCGAGCAGAGGGAAAAGGAGUGAUCCGCUUUGAGAUGGCCUCGCGUCCGAUUAGCUGGUUGGUGAGGUAACGGCCCACCAAGGCGACGAUCGGUAGCCGGACUGAGAGGUUGAACGGCCACAUUGGGACUGAGACACGGCCCAG
rnacentral:rRNA from 1 species